UACGAAGGGGGCUAGCGUUGUUCGGAAUCACUGGGCGUAAAGCGCACGUAGGCGGAUUUUUAAGUCAGGGGUGAAAUCCCGAGGCUCAACCUCGGAACUGCCUUUGAUACUGGUGAUCUUGAGUCCGGAAGAGGUAAGUGGAACUGCGAGUGUAGAGGUGAAAUUCGUAGAUAUUCGCAAGAACACCAGUGGCGAAGGCGGCUUACUGGUCCGGAACUGACGCUGAGGUGCGAAAGCGUGGGGAGCAAACAGG
rnacentral:rRNA from 1 species